CCAUGAGCGAGAGUAAGAGGCAGCAGGAAAGCAUCAUGACAUGCGUUGGAGCACACAUUGAGGAUACAAGAUGUCCUUAAUGAGGCUUUUAAAAGCUUCUGUGAUGCCACUUGCAACAAGGGAGGAGCUGGUGAAGCCAAGAAGCCAGGGCGAGGAUGAGGGUUGAAUGGGACAGGGCGCUCAGACACGCCCCUGCUCGCGCUGAGCGCAGCACACCCACGCAGCAACAAGCCUGCAGACAAUCACCUAUCAGCGCACCUGGACUUGAUGAGAGGGAGUGGCAUAAAGACCAGUAGACCCGAGGAACCUUUGCCAGAACGUCGCUCAUCUUCCCAUGACUUCCCUGUCAUCCGUGAUCGUGUUUUGCCUCUCGACAUCCAUCCGGAUUCCUGACUGCCUCCCUCGAUCCUCGACCCCCUGCUCGGACACGGACUACGCUGCCUUGCACCUACCCUCGACCCCUUGCCUGUUUACGGACUGCCUCUUCGCCUUGCCCCCACCCUUGAUUCGACGAAGGAUACAUCCAACACUCACAGACAACAAACCCUGGUAACAUUUACACUAUUAAUUAUACACAUAGCCUACUCCCAUUCACUUAGGGUAGCAUACACACGCCACGUAAUCAUCAAAGAUUUAAAUAAACCGUGUGA